rnacentral:rRNA from 1 species
UACAGAGGAGCCAAGCGUUGUCCGGAUUGACUGGGCGUAAAGCGCACGCAGGCGGAUGCGCGCGUGGGGUGUGAAAUCUGGCCGCUUAACGGCCAGGCGCCAUCCCAUACGGCGCGUCUGGAGCCUUGCAGAGGUCGGUGGAAUUGCCGGUGUAGUGGUGAAAUUCGUAGAUAUUCGGAAGAACACCAGUGGCGAAGGCGGCUCACUGGCCCGGUACUGACGCUGAGGUGCGAAAGCGUGGGGAGCAAACAGG